AAGAGAUCACAUCGUUAGGUUAAGUUAGGAGGCAAAGUAUUAGACAAAGAAGCAAAAAAAGGAGAAAAAGAGAGAAAGUAGGUGGGGAAUAAGGCAAAUUAAGAGGAGAGAAAGGUAGGAAGACAGGAGGGGAUGGAGAGAGGAGGGAAGAGAUCACAUCGUUAGGUUAAGUUAGGAGGCAAAGUAUUAGACAAAGAAGCAGAAAAGGAGAAAAAGAGAGAAAGUAGGUGGAAAAUAAGGCAAACUGAGAGGAGAGGA